rnacentral:tRNA from 1 species
ACCUGGCUGGCUCAGUCGGUGGAGCAUGUGACUCUUGAUCUUGGGAUUGUGAGUUCGAGCCUCACACUGGGUG